GGUGUAGAAACCGAGGUAGUCUUGAUGAUACGGGUGCAUCUUCCAUAUUUUGUGCAGGAUAAUAAGAAACUUGACUGAGUUCCUUAGGGUCACCGUUAAACUGCGAUCUUUGAUCACCUGCAGAUCCAUGCUGGAGAAAGCAAAAGAUGGAGGAUUGUGCUCAAAAUCGAAUCUAAUCAAAGAAGACACUAAGAUCUCCUUUGUGCUCACGUUCAAUCUGAUACCAAACUUCUCGUGAACAAUCCCAAAGUGCCCAAAAUAGAAUGAAUCACCUGUAAGUGGGUCUCUAACCAGGUUGAAGAUGGUACCAGGUUUGUGAUCAAUGUUGAAGCACAGAGCAUCAUUCUGAUCUGGCAGCUCAAUGAUGAAGUGUGGAUCUCCAUCAAC